AUGAACGCUAGCUACAGGCUUAACACAUGCAAGUCGAGGGGCAGCAUGAACUUAGCUUGCUAAGUUUGAUGGCGACCGGCGCACGGGUGAGUAACACGUAUCCAACCUGCCGAUGACUCGGGGAUAGCCUUUCGAAAGAAAGAUUAAUACCCGAUGGCAUAGUUCUUCCGCAUGGUAGAACUAUUAAAGAAUUUCGGUCAUCGAUGGGGAUGCGUUCCAUUAGGUUGUUGGCGGGGUAACGGCCCACCAAGCCUUCGAUGGAUAGGGGUUCUGAGAGGAAGGUCCCCCACAUUGGAACUGAGACACGGUCCAAACUCCUACGGGAGGCAGCAGUGAGGAAUAUUGGUCAAUGGACGAGAGUCUGAACCAGCCAAGUAGCGUGAAGGAUGACUGCCCUAUGGGUUGUAAACUUCUUUUAUACGGGAAUAAAGUGAGGCACGUGUGCCUUUUUGUAUGUACCGUAUGAAUAAGGAUCGGCUAACUCCGUGCCAGCAGCCGCGGUAAUACGGAGGAUCCGAGCGUUAUCCGGAUUUAUUGGGUUUAAAGGGAGCGUAGGCGGACGCUUAAGUCAGUUGUGAAAGUUUGCGGCUCAACCGUAAAAUUGCAGUUGAUACUGGGUGUCUUGAGUACAGUAGAGGCAGGCGGAAUUCGUGGUGUAGCGGUGAAAUGCUUAGAUAUCACGAAGAACUCCGAUUGCGAAGGCAGCUUGCUGGACUGUAACUGACGCUGAUGCUCGAAAGUGUGGGUAUCAAACAGGAUUAGAUACCCUGGUAGUCCAUGCCGUAAACGAUGAUUACUAGGUGUUGGGGGAUUGACCCCCUCAGUGCCGCAGUUAACACAAUAAGUAAUCCACCUGGGGAGUACGACCGCAAGGUUGAAACUCAAAGGAAUUGACGGGGGCCCGCACAAGCGGAGGAACAUGUGGUUUAAUUCGAUGAUACGCGAGGAACCUUACCCGGGCUUGAAUUGCAACUGAAUGAUGUGGAGACAUGUCAGCCGCAAGGCAGUUGUGAAGGUGCUGCAUGGUUGUCGUCAGCUCGUGCCGUGAGGUGUCGGCUUAAGUGCCAUAACGAGCGCAACCCUUAUCGAUAGUUACCAUCAGGUUAUGCUGGGGACUCUGUCGAGACUGCCGUCGUAAGAUGUGAGGAAGGUGGGGAUGACGUCAAAUCAGCACGGCCCUUACGUCCGGGGCUACACACGUGUUACAAUGGGGGGUACAGAAGGCAGCUACACGGCGACGUGAUGCUAAUCCCUAAAGCCUCUCUCAGUUCGGAUUGGAGUCUGCAACCCGACUCCAUGAAGCUGGAUUCGCUAGUAAUCGCGCAUCAGCCACGGCGCGGUGAAUACGUUCCCGGGCCUUGUACACACCGCCCGUCAAGCCAUGAAAGCCGGGGGUACCUGAAGUGCGUAACCGCAAGGAGCGCCCUAGGGUAAAACUGGUGAUUGGGGCU
rnacentral:rRNA from 1 species